CCAACAUCAGCACCUCAGCGUGACACCACGCACGUCCGUGCUUCGCACCUCCGUGCUUCGCAUUCGACCCGUGCGGCCCUCGUGUCCCAUCGCUCCUGAAUAGGGAACCAACAAGUCCACACCGUGCUUCUCGACCGUCUCAUCGACCCUCGCUUUGCCACGGCGCUCCGCGCCCUUGACUCCCAUAGGUUCGCCUCAUAAGGCCCCAUACAAACGAACCGGCCUCGCUCCGCAUCGCUAGCCACUGGCCCCUCCUUGGCUCGACCACGCCUGGCCGCUUACCCCAUUGGUCCAGUCUCUCAAGGUUCACUAUACGGAUACCGAUACCGCUUGCCUCCUUGGGUUCCGCCCCUCGAGUCUCGUAGGCCACCCGCCUUACGAAUUCUCCCUCGGCAUGCCUCCCUUUAGCGUCCCUAUCGAGUCUCGCCUCCUUGGCCUUCGUGGGCGCCGCGCCCCACGAAUCCCCGCUCGGCACCCUUGCCUUCGCGAGCCUUGUCCUUUACGGAGGACCAUCCGUCGCUAGACUAUCCCUCAUCCGCUCGUACGCUCCACUACAGAGAUCCAAGCCGGCAUAAGGUAGCGCAAGCGAUCCUAGGGAGGAAGCCUCCCGGUAUUCCCCGCUUCCGUAAUGUCGUCGACCUCUCGCGUCUCCGACAUUACCCUAGGCCCGUGUCCCUUCAACCGUCCAUUAACCGGCUACACGGAACGCUAGGCUUGGCUACUCCGCUAGCCAAGGGACGACCCAUAUCCUAUGGGUCGACGGGGGAGUCGGGGCCACUUACGAAGUGUCCACCCCUCCUCUAAUACCCUUACGAGGCAUCCACUCCUUUGGCACCCCGGGGGUACAAAGGUGCUCACCGAGGGGUACGUUUUCAAGCCCCGCAUGCGGCACCUAUUUCCAAGUCAUGGCAUGGGCCAUUGCUAGGGAAUUGCCUCCGUUGACUUGACAGCGACUCCUACCUGACGGAACGCCUCAACUCCGCAACUCCAUAACUUCGUCAACCCAAAUGCCUACCAAGUAUGGCCCACAAAGGUGUCACGGUCGAGACCCAACGAUCGACCCGUGACAGUACGGCACGAGCGGCAUUUUGAACCUUGAUAAUAAUAUUAUAAUACUAAUCCAAGUGUCGAAACGCAAAAAAUCGCGCCUGCGGUGUUUCGAUCGGCUCGUCAAAUGGCACCAAAUCCCUUUCCUCUUCUUCUUCUUCUCUUUUUCCCCUUUCUCUUCUUUCCUUUUCUCUCUAUACGUACAGGUUGAAGGUGGAGGGAAGCUUCAAGAGGCUUCCCUGGCAACUUAGUGGAAUUCCACUACGGUAACAAUAUGCCAAUAAGUCCAUAAGCCAUCAAUAUUCUCAAUUUGCUCUAAUUUCAAUUUGAUACUUUUAAUUGCAGCCCUUCUGAAUGUCCGUUUGCGGUACAACUCUUGUGGGUACUCAUGCCAUACUCGUGCCCUCUCCGCAAACAACUUUUGUCACCCCAAUGCCUCCACAAUCGCACAACGUCGAGCUCUCCCCAUGGUCUCCCCAAGCUUUCAAGCCUUUCGUCGGGACUAGCCGGCCUCGACUACUUCCUGCUCUACUGACUUCCCCACGGACUCUUGUCAUGCCUCCUGACUGCUUUGCAUUUCGACUACUUGUUGAUGCACGGCACCUUUAGCCUUUAUCCCACAAGCCUGCUCAAGCCCUACUUCGUUAGGCUCUCGCAGAACUCCACUUCGAUUCGCAAUCAAAGUGUUCGGCCAAGUUCGAGCCAAUCGGACACCUUGUCUCUUUUCGCUCGCAACUUGCCAUAUCCCAACUCUAGGGACACCACCCUCAUGAUUGAACGCUGAACGGAACUCAGUUCACUCUCUGCUUAGUCUGAACCGCAAGUCUGGUUGCCACGGCAAUGCCGCUACCCUGCGCGCACCGCCCUUACAGAACUUCGAUACCUCGACCCUUCCCGCAGCUGCGAACUGUCCAAACUCCAGCCAGCACCAUGAUCCUGGGUGAAUCCACACACCACUCAACCCGACUAAGGAUGUCUCAUCCGUCCAACUCGUGGGCACAUUGUAAAGAGCAACCGAUCUCCACACCGGCCUUCUCGCACCAAGAGAAGUACUAAGCUCUCUCGCAAUCCUAGGUCCCCUUCACAACCUAGUCCAACGCCUAGCUGUUACUACCAUGGAUUCGUCGGCCUAGACUUCCAACUUGAGCUCCACGAAGCAAACUCUUUUACCACAUGUGUUGUAUCCCACUUCCUGUCAUAGACGAGCUCCUUCACCGAGUCUUUGCGCAUGGGAGCACUUAAUGAACAAACGUGCUCCCCCACUCUGAGUCGCUCCACCACCAAGCGCACUCAGAUCUCCCCGGCAUUCUCAAUGCCCCACAUUCCGCUCUGCUAGCUCCGGCUCUGCCACAACCUUCACUAUUCCCUCAAGCGGAACCCAUGUCAUCCAUCCAAUGGAUACAUGUAUGCUACCUCGAGUCACCAACGCUGUCACCGUUCUGCUCGAAGCUAGCCUUACCACCUCACUCCGCGAGUUAAGGUUUCAACCUCAAUCCAUUCUCUCGCACAAGGAUGCCUUCUCAUUCCAUAUCAUGGGCACACUCCAAAGAGUCAUCGAUCUCCCCAUCGAUCUUCCUUUUACCAAGAGAGAAGUACUGGUUCAUCGAGUAGCCCUUUGGUAAUCCCGCAACUUUGGUCGAAGCUGCUCCCAACGAAGACUACUGCCCGUCAGACUUCAAACUCAGCUUUCACGAAGUAAACUCUUUCGCCCAGUGUUUCACCGCCCAAUCCAUAUCCUUUCGAGAAGCACCAUCGUCGAGGAUUCACAUUUGGGAAUACAUCUCCACCUUAUGUACUCCCCCACCCUGAGUCGUAAGCACCUCUGUACAACUCAGUAUCCUUGGGCAUUCGCAAUACCCAACUCCGCGGCAACCCAACCACGGACCGCAAACUGAUUCUUCCUAAUCAUUGCCCCAUCGUCUGCCACACGACUAAGGCCUUAACCAUUUCUCCAUCCUGAGAAUGACUUGGAAAUCCUCACAGGGUACCGACAUGAACUUGGCUUUCGUCCCACCACGAGUCCACACCAACAAGCACCUCCCUCGCAAGACCCGCAAUCGGCUGGGCCUCCGAGCUCCUCGCUGUUAUCUGACUCUCAUCCAUGCGUGGUGCAAGUCCGAACCGCCCGGCUUCACUCACCGCAAAGAAUUCGUGGGUAGUACCAAUAUCCAUCGCAACUUAACUCCGCAUCUCUCACAAGCGAAGUAUUGUCCCAAUGCAUUGUCGGCUCCAAGUCCUUUCGUCAGAGUGACUCUGCUCACUCCAACUUCGCCGCCAAGGUCGCACCUUUCGGCCAAACUUCCAUCCCAAAUGAGCUCAACCUGGCUCUGAUACCACUUGUCACGGGGUUAGCUUUUCCGCCUCAAAAAUCCCCGCGCGGCGCUCAAGUGUCGCACACCCGAGCCAGCCUUCUCGAGUCCCUUACACGGACAAGUCUCCCCGACUUAACAGCGGAAUACCAAUCCAAGCAUUUUGCCAAGCUUGCUCCUCCUCGAGACUUAUAGCCCGACCCUCGCCUGUAAUCGAACCCCUCGUCGGACUCCUCGAGUUCCCAACGAGCAACCCCAAUAUCGAGGUUGGCCACCAAGCUAGGUGCAUCCUGUUUUGUCAACCAAACCCUCCUCGAGAGUGCUCUGUAGCCGAAUGCCUUGUUGCCUUCCUCGCCAGCCCAAGGACAUUACAAGUUCUCCCCCAACUUGUACAAUAUGAGUAUAGCCGAGCGUCUCGCCUCCCACGCGUCUCGCUCCCGCGACUCAACCCGCACGCCUCUAGCGUCGAGGUCCGGGCUUCGCGACAUCGCAUGCCACGAAGGGCACUCAUAACCAUAAGUUCCACCAUCGUGUCUCCCGCGCCUGACAACGCCCAUGGCCAUACCGCCUACGCGGCCUGCUCGCUCGGUCCAACGGCUUACCUCCGAAAAGCCACCCAAGUGUGCGCCACAAGCUUGCUUGCCCCAACAUCAGCACCUCAGCGUGACACCACGCACGUCCGUGCUUCGCACCUCCGUGCUUCGCAUUCGACCCGUGCGGCCCUCGUGUCCCAUCGCUCCUGAAUAGGGAACCAACAAGUCCACACCGUGCUUCUCGACCGUCUCAUCGACCCUCGCUUUGCCACGGCGCUCCGCGCCCUUGACUCCCAUAGGUUCGCCUCAUAAGGCCCCAUACAAACGAACCGGCCUCGCUCCGCAUCGCUAGCCACUGGCCCCUCCUUGGCUCGACCACGCCUGGCCGCUUACCCCAUUGGUCCAGUCUCUCAAGGUUCACUAUACGGAUACCGAUACCGCUUGCCUCCUUGGGUUCCGCCCCUCGAGUCUCGUAGGCCACCCGCCUUACGAAUUCUCCCUCGGCGUGCCUCCCUUUAGCGUCCCUAUCGAGUCUCGCCUCCUUGGCCUUCGUGGGCGCCGCGCCCCACGAAUCCCCGCUCGGCACACUUGCCUUCGCGAGCCUUGUCCUUUACGGAGGACCGUCCGUCGCUAGACUAUCCCUCAUCCGCUCGUACGCUCCACUACAGAGAUCCAAGCCGGCAUAAGGUAGCGCAAGCGAUCCUAGGGAGGAAGCCUCCCGGUAUUCCCCGCUUCCGUAAUGUCGUCGACCUCUCGCGUCUCCGACAUUACCCUAGGCCCGUGUCCCUUCAACCGUCCAUUAACCGGCUACACGGAACGCUAGGCUUGGCUACUCCGCUAGCCAAGGGACGACCCAUAUCCUAUGGGUCGACGGGGGAGUCGGGGCCACUUACGAAGUGUCCACCCCUCCUCUAAUACCCUUACGAGGCAUCCACUCCUUUGGCACCCCGGGGGUACAAAGGUGCUCACCGAGGGGUACGUUUUCAAGCCCCGCAUGCGGCACCUAUUUCCAAGUCAUGGCAUGGGCCAUUGCUAGGGAAUUGCCUCCGUUGACUUGACAGCGACUCCUACCUGACGGAACGCUUCAACUCCGCAACUCCAUAACUUCGUCAACCCAAAUGCCUACCAAGUAUGGCCCACAAAGGUGUCACGGUCGAGACCCAACGAUCGACCCGUGACAGUACGGCACGAGCGGCAUUUUGAACCUUGAUAAUAAUAUUAUAAUACUAAUCCAAGUGUCGAAACGCAAAAAAUCGCGCCUGCGGUGUUUCGAUCGGCUCGUCAAAUGGCACCAAAUCCCUUUCCUCUUCUUCUU
rnacentral:lncRNA from 1 species